rnacentral:rRNA from 1 species
UACGUAGGAGGCGAGCGUUGUCCGGAUUUAUUGGGCGUAAAGAGCGUGUAGGCGGCCGUACAGGUCAGCUGUGAAAACUCGAGGCUCAACCUCGAGACGUCGGUUGAAACCGUACGGCUAGAGUCCGGAAGAGGAGAGUGGAAUUCCCGGUGUAGCGGUGAAAUGCGCAGAUAUCGGGAAGAACACCCGUGGCGAAGGCGGCUCUCUGGGACGGUACUGACGCUGAGACGCGAAAGCGUGGGGAGCGAACAGG